CCAUCGCUCAAAGGAUAAAAGGUACUCCGGGGAUAACAGGCUGAUCUCCCCCAAGAGCUCACAUCGACGGGGAGGUUUGGCACCUCGAUGUCGGCUCGUCACAUCCUGGGGCUGGAGAAGGUCCCAAGGGUUGGGCUGUUCGCCCAUUAAAGUGGCACGCGAGCUGGGUUCAGAACGUCGCGAGACAGUUCGGUCCCUAUCUAUUGCGGGCGUUAGAAGUUUGAGAGGACCUCCUUUUAGUACGAGAGGACCGAAGGGGACGAACCUCUGGUGUACCUGUUGUGGCGCCAGCUGCAUCGCAGGGUAGCUAUGUUCGGACGAGAUAAGCGCUGAAAGCAUCUAAGCACGAAACUCACCUCAAGAUGAGACUUCUUUUAAGGGUCGUUAAAGAUGAUGACGUUGAUAGGUCGUAGGUGUAAAGGUAGAAAUGCCACAGCCGAGCGAUACUAAUUGCCCGUAGAUUUUCUACAC
rnacentral:rRNA from 1 species